UACGAAGGGGGCUAGCGUUGCUCGGAAUUACUGGGCGUAAAGCGCACGUAGGCGGAUUGUUAAGUCGGGGGUGAAAUCCUGGAGCUCAACUCCAGGACUGCCUUCGAUACUGGCGAUCUCGAGUUCGGGAGAGGUGAGUGGAACUGCGAGUGUAGAGGUGAAAUUCGUAGAUAUUCGCAAGAACACCAGUGGCGAAGGCGGCUCACUGGCCCGGUACUGACGCUGAGGCACGAAAGCGUGGGGAGCAAACAGG
rnacentral:rRNA from 1 species